GACGAACGCUGGCGGCGUGCUUAACACAUGCAAGUCGAACGGUGAAGCACCUUCCUUUUGGUGGGUGUGGAUGAGUGGCGAACGGGUGAGUAACACGUGAGUAACCUGCCCCCUUCUUCUGGAUAACCGCAUGAAAGUGUGGCUAAUACGGGAUAUUCUGGGUCUGUCGCAUGGCGGGCCUGGGAAAGAUAUUGUUUCGGUGGGGGAUGGGCUCGCGGUCUAUCAGCUUGUUGGUGGGGUGAUGGCCUACCGAGGCGGUGACGGGUAGCCGGCCUGAGAGGGUGGGCGGUCACACUGGGGCUGCGCCCCGGCCCCGACUCCUACGGGAGGCAGCAGUGGGGAUUAUUGCACAAUGGGCGCAAGCCUGAUGCAGCGCCGCCGCGUGAGGGAUGGAGGCCUUCGGGUUGUAAACCUCUUUCGCCAGUGAAGCAGGCCUGUCCCUUUUGUGGGUGGGUUGACGGUAGCUGGAUAAGAAGCGCCGGCUAACUACGUG
rnacentral:rRNA from 1 species